rnacentral:misc_RNA from 1 species
GAUGAAGAACGUAGCGAAAUGCGAUACGUAAUGUGAAUUGCAGAAUUCAGUGAAUCAUCGAGUCUUUGAACGCACAUUGCGCCCGCCAGUAUUCUGGCGGGCAUGCCUGUCUGAGCGUCGUUUCGACCCUCGCGCCCGGCUUCUGUCGGGGGCGGUGUUGGGGAUCGGCCACACCCUUCAGUGGGAGGCCGGCCCCUAAAUUCAGUGGCGACCACGCUGUAGCCUCCCCUGCGUAGUACUAAAACCACCUCGCAGGCGGAGAGCGGUGCGGCCCGCCGUAAAACCCCCCAACUUUUACAAGGUCGACCUCAGAUCAGGUAGGAAUACCCGCUGAACUUAAGCAUAUCAAUAAGCGGAGGA